GUGCUCACUUCGGCAAAAAUUGGAAUGAUACAGAGAAAAUUAGCAUGGCCCCUGCGCAAGGAUGACACACAAAUUCGUGAAGCAUUCUAUAUUUUU
rnacentral:snRNA from 2 species